AUCUAGCUGACGAGUUCGAAAUGGGAAGAAACGCGCUUCCUUGAU
rfam:Schistosoma haematobium scaffold111_16, whole genome shotgun sequence.